GAAUACAUGAACAUAUAUAAUUUUGCCAUAAAAAAAAAAUAUCAUCUUAAACAUGUUAUCGAGGCAUAACAUACACACAUAAAACUCCACCUGUAAGUGUAAACCUUGAUGAAGUUUCACAAACUGAACACACUCAUGUAAACAGCAUCCACUGAAUCAAAUUAUAAUGUAUUAUUAAUGUAUUAAGGAGUGUAAUCUCAGGGAAGGCUAUUUAGGGGAAGAAAGUGGGAAAAAUUUAUUGGUCACGGCCGGACAUGGUGGCUCAUACCUGUAAUCCCAGCACUUUAGGAGGCCGAAGUGGGAGGAUCAGUUGAGCUCAGGAGUUCAGGACUAGCCUGGCUAACACAGUGAUACCCAUCUCUACUAAAAAUACAAAAAUUCCAUCUCUACUAAAAAUACAAAAAUUAGCUGGAUAUGGUGGUGCACACCUGUAAUCCUAGCUACUUGGGAGGCUGAGGCAGGAGAAUUGCUUGAACUGGGUAGGCAGAGCUUACAGUGAGCCAAGAGCAGCAUAAAUAUAUUCCACAUAUGAAAGUUUAGCAAUCACUGAAUUCUUAGAAAGA
rnacentral:lncRNA from 1 species